AGGUCAGAGGCUAUGCAGGCCCUCGAACGCCGGGUGAUUCCCAAGCUUGUAGCGCGGGUUCGAUUCCCGUCAUCCGCUCCA
rnacentral:tRNA from 1 species